rnacentral:rRNA from 1 species
GGCCCAGACUCCUACGGGAGGCAGCAGUGGGGAAUAUUGCACAAUGGGGGAAACCCUGAUGCAGCGACGCCGCGUGAGUGAAGAGGUAUUUCGGUAUGUAAAUCUCUAUCAGCAGGGAAGAAAAUGACGGUACCUGACUAAGAAGCCCCGGCUAACUACGUGCCAGCAGCCGCGGUAAUACGUAGGGGGCAAGCGUUAUCCGGAUUUACUGGGUGUAAAGGGAGCGUAGACGGUCCUGCAAGCCAGAUGUGAAAGCCCGGAGCUCAACCCCGGGACUGCAUUUGGAACUGUAAGGCUAGAGUGUCGGAGAGGCAGGCGGAAUUCCUAGUGUAGCGGUGAAAUGCGUAGAUAUCAGGAGGAACACCGGUGGCGAAGGCGGCCUGCUGGACUGCAACUGACGUUGAGGCCCGAAAGCGUGGGGAGCAAACAGGAUUAGAUACCCGUGUA